GGGCCGUUAGCUCAAUUGGUAGAGCAGUGGACUCUUAAUCCAUUGGUUAUAGGUUCAAUUCCUAUACGGCCCACCA
rnacentral:tRNA from 1 species